rnacentral:pre_miRNA from 1 species
UAUUAAAAAUUUUAUCUAUUUUCACUAUUAAAAGUUAGUGUAACUGAAAAAAUAUCCAGACAGUUAUACAUGGUGUGUCACGCGUACAUCAUGCUAACGUAUCAUGACUAAAUUUUAAUAGUAGAAAUAAAUAAAAAUUUUUACUA